rnacentral:rRNA from 1 species
CAGCCGCCACGGGAAUACGUAGGGUGCAAGCGUUAAUCGGAAUUACUGGGCGUAAAGCGUGCGCAGGCGGUUAUAUAAGACAGAUGUGAAAUCCCCGGGCUCAACCUGGGAACUGCAUUUGUGACUGUAUAGCUAGAGUACGGCAGAGGGGGAUGGAAUUCCGCGUGUAGCAGUGAAAUGCGUAGAUAUGCGGAGGAACACCGAUGGCGAAGGCAAUCCCCUGGGCCUGUACUGACGCUCAUGCACGAAAGCGUGGGGAGCAAACAGGAUUAGAUACCCGGGUAGUCCCUGUCUCUUAUAA